rnacentral:rRNA from 1 species
UACAGAGGUCUCAAGCGUUGUUCGGAUUCCUUGGGCGUAAAGGGUGCGUAGGCGGCGCCGUAAGUCGGAUGUGAAAUCUCAGGGCUCAACCCUGAAACUGCAUUCGAUACUGCGGUGCUCGAGGACUCGAGAGGAGAUUGGAAUUCACGGUGUAGCAGUGAAAUGCGUAGAUAUCGUGAGGAAGACCAGUGGCGAAGGCGGAUCUCUGGAGAGUUCCUGACGCUGAGGCACGAAGGCCAGGGGAGCAAACGGG